GGGGGCAGCAGGCGAUGGCGGCGGCCGCGGCGGCGGGUCCUCUAGGCUGGUUGCUCGCCGCGCUGUGCCUGGGCAACGCCGCCGUAGAGGCGGCGUCGGGCCCGCGAGUGUUGGGCGUCUGUCUGGAGGAGGACGGAGCCGCGGACGUGGGGUGGGAGCGCGGAGAAGAGGUGCGGACUGCACGGGAGGCCACCUUCCGCCUACGCCUCUUCGGCUCCGGCUUGGCCAACAGCUCCUGGUCCUGGGUAGCCCCCGAGGGGGCGGGCUGCCCCGAGGGCGGGCCGGCCGCGGCGCCCGAGGAGGCGGUGGCCCCCACGGGCGAGUGGCGCGCACUGCUGCGCCUGCGCGCCGAGGCCGCGCGCCCGCACUCGGCGCUGCUGGCGGUGCGCGGGGAGCGGGACGCGUCGGCGGCCGAGGAGGCGGUGGCCCCUGCGGGCGAGUGGAGCGCGCUGCUGCGCCUGCGCGCCGAGGCCGUGCGCCCGCAUUCCGCGCUGCUGGCGGUGCGCGUGGAGCCAGGCGGCGCGGCAACCGAGGAGGCGGCGCCGCCCUGGGCUCUGGGCCUGGGGGUGGCGGGGCUGCUGGCGCUGGCGGCGCUGGCGCGGGGCCUGCAGCUGAGCGCGCUGGCGCUGGCGCCCGCCGAGGUGCAGGUGCUGCGCGAGAGCGGCUCGGAGGCCGAGCGUACGGCGGCGCGGCGCCUGGAGCCCGCGCGGCGCUGGGCCGGCUGCGCCCUGGGCGCGCUGUUGCUACUGGCCAGUCUGGCGCAGGCGGCGCUGGCGGUACUGUUGUACCGCGCGGCCGGCCAGCGCGCCGUGCCCGCCGUGCUGGGCAGCGCAGGGCUCGUGUUCCUGGUGGGCGAGGUGGUGCCGGCUGCCGUGAGCGGACGCUGGACGUUGGCGCUGGCGCCGCGCGCGCUGCUCCUCAGUCGCCUCGCGGUGCUGCUGACACUGCCCGUGGCGCUGCCCGUGGGCCAGUUGCUGGAGCUGGCGGCGCGGCCCGGGCGGCUGCGGGAACGCGUGCUGGAGCUGGCCCGCGGCGGCGGCGACCCCUACAGCGAUCUCAGCAAGGGCGUGCUGCGCUGCCGGACCGUGGAGGACGUGCUCACGCCGCUCGAGGACUGCUUCAUGCUGGACGCCAGCGCCGUGCUGGACUUUGGCGUCCUGGCCAGCAUCAUGCAGAGCGGCCACACGCGCAUUCCAGUGUACGAGGAGGAGCGCUCCAACAUCGUGGACAUGCUCUACCUCAAGGACUUGGCCUUCGUGGAUCCCGAAGACUGCACGCCGCUCAGCACCAUCACCCGCUUCUACAACCAUCCGCUCCACUUCGUCUUCAACGACACCAAGCUGGACGCUGUCCUGGAGGAGUUCAAACGAGGGAAGUCCCACCUGGCCAUCGUGCAGAAGGUGAACAACGAGGGUGAAGGUGACCCCUUCUACGAGGUGCUGGGCCUGGUCACCCUGGAGGACGUCAUUGAGGAGAUCAUCAAGUCUGAGAUCCUGGACGAGUCUGAGGACUACCGAGACUCUGCCGUGAGGAAGAAGCCCGCUCCUCUGAGUGCCCCUCUCAGGCGGAAAGAGGACUUCUCCCUGUUCAAGGUGUCUGAUGAUGAAUAUAAAGUGAAGAUCUCGCCUCAGCUACUCUUGGCCACCCAGCAAUUCCUGUCCCAAGAGGUGGAUGUGUUCAGCCCCUUGCGGAUCUCCGAGAAGGUCCUGCUGCACCUGCUGAAGCAUCCCAGCGUCAACCAGGAAGUGAGGUUUGAUGAGAGCAACCGUCUAGCUGCUCACCAUUACCUGUACCAGCGCAGCCAGCCGGUGGACUACUUCAUUCUCAUCCUACAGGGCAGGGUUGAGGUGGAGAUCGGGAAAGAGGGCCUGAAGUUCGAGAAUGGGGCCUUCACCUACUAUGGAGUGUCUGCCCUGACAGCACCAUCCUCGGUUCACCAGUCCCCGGUGUCCUCGCUCCAGUCCCUCCGCCACGACCUGCAGCCCGAGCCAGUCGAUGGUGCCCGCUUGUCUGCGUACUGUCCUGACUACACCGUGAGGGCCCUCUCCGACCUGCAGCUCAUUAAGGUCACGAGGCUGCAGUACCUCAAUGCACUCCUGGCUACUCGAGCCCAGAGCCUGCCACAGUCCCCGGAGAACGCAGACCUCCAGGUCAUCCCAGGCAGCCAGACCAGGCUCCUUGGGGACAAGACAGCCACAGCAGCAGCCUUCCCCGUAGACCUUUCCCUCUUUGGCACAUUUGGAAACUGCAGUUGAUAAUUGACUGUGGACUAGUGAGCAUUUUUUGUUUUCAGAAAACACCCAAGGGCCGCACCACAGCAGACCCGGCCUCCCAGCAGAGGAGAGCCCUGGGCGGAACCCAGGGGUUUAACUGCUUGCCAGGCAGCCCCAGGUCUGGGGAAUGGACAAGCACGUGGGGAACUGGAGAGCCGAGGAGUAGCUUCCUGUCAGCCUGUCCCCAUCCCCUCCAGGCCACGUUUUAGAUGGCCCUUAUAGAUGUGGGUCCUGGGCUGUCCUCAGAACCAGACUUCAGUGCCGGGAGCCUUCAGCAGUCCUGCCCUCCUUUAGGAAAUGGGGGUCAGUUGGGGCACAGCCCUCCAGGCCUGCUUCUGAAUGGGAAUGAAAAGGACACCGUCCUCUCUGGUCCCCAGGACCCAGCCUUCUCCCCGUGACCGUGCAGUGUAUUUAUACCUCUUUGGGCCAAGCCAUGAUGUGAGUGCACGAUUACUGCCUUUAUGUGGCUGUGACCUGUACUCACUUCGCUUUUAAUUUGCCAGCCUUCUGCUGCUGGCAGCACUUUCCGAGCAAACCAGGGGCACUAGGUUGGGCUGGGGGUUCACAUCCUUAGCCACAGUGAACUAUUUGGCUUCCCUUACAAUGCCAUGUUUCCAAGCGUGUGCCCCAGCCUGUCUCACUUGCCAAACCUCGAAGCUCAGUGACCCACCAGUAUGUCCCACUGUCCUGCUCCCUCCCAUGGAGGUUACUUCUCUGAGUUCUGUGCUCAGAGCCCCAAGCGAACAAGCUGGCCCCCAGUGGCACUGAGGAGGCCUGUUCCUUCUGCUUCUCUGCCUGUCUUACUUAGUUGCCACUAACAGUAUUGUCACUUUCUGUGUUUGAAGAAGAGAGGUCACACGUGGGAGGACGGGGUGUGCUGCCCCUAACCCUCUCAAUUGCUGGAUCCCGGGGAGUGUAGCCAACCGUUAGGCCUACUUUGUACCUCCUUCCUGGGCCUCCGUGGAGAGCUGGGUGGCUGCCAUCUGCAUGGAGAGCAGCAAGGAGGGGAAGGGUUGGUUGUGGAGCAGGUAGAGCCUCAUCCCCUUU